rnacentral:tRNA from 1 species
GUCUUUGCAGCGCAUUGGAUAGCGUGUUGGACUUCUAAUCCAAUGCUCGUGGGUUAGAAUCCCACCUGAGAUG